UCCAUUUGUCAGACCCAAAGCAGUUACUGUCUGCUUCUAAGGUUUCUGUUACAGUUGGAACAGAAGUCGUACUUUCUGUCUAUCUGAUUGUGGCAGCCAAGAUUGAAUAGAGGAACACAGAU
rnacentral:snoRNA from 1 species